GGGGUUUUGAGGUCAAUUUAUUAUCCCGCUGAACACAAGCUGCUGAGCAAUCCUGCCAGGGCUCCUGUGCACAUUCCUAUUUGUUUGUGCCAGAUGAAAGGUGCUUGUUCUUUGCCUUCCACCUCCCAGCCAAGCACAGACCUCCCCUCAGAAGGGCAGGAAAGGCUCAGCAGCAGCACGAGGAGCAGGCUGGGUGUGCUGCUGGGCACGCUGGCUCCUGUGAAGUGCAAACUCCAGAGACACAGGGAAGUUGCCAGGUUGGGUGGCUGGGCUGUAUUUUUAAGGAAGGACAGCUGUCACUCCUGAGUGAUUGAGGCCACCCAGCAAAAGGGACCGGUGGGCUGGGCUGGGCACAAAGCUCAGGAAAGCGCUUGGAAGAUCUCCAGCAGAUUUUAUGGCAUAGAAAGAGCCGUGUGAGCACUGCUGUGGUGUAACACACCGCAGUGUGAGGCUGCCUUUGAUCCCAAUACGGGUAAACAGCCCGGAACAAUCUGCUUUUGCAUCAGGGUGAGGAGCUGCACCCUCAGAUGUGGAUGGUUCCUGCUGCACUCGCAGGUGUGAGAGGGGUUUGUGCAGUGAGGGCAGCUCAGGAGGAGAAAUGCUCAGGUGUGCCUGCAGAACAGCAAAGGGCUCCCAGGGACAGAGGGCCAGCUGUGCCAACGGGGACAGGGGCCAGCAGAGCGUCCUGCAGAGCCCGGCUGUGCCCCAGGCUGGAGAUCCUGGUCCCCAUGGCAGAGCCCUCCCCUGCACCCCCUGCCCUGCCCAGCCCCACUGUGACACGCAGCACCCCGGGGACACCCCGUGGUCACAAAGGCCCCUGUGGUCACAAUGGCCCCGAGAGCCCUGGGAUCCAGCCCUGCCCUGCCCAGUGCUGCCUCCUGCCUCCACCCCAGACAGCCGCACACCCAGGGCCUCCAUCACCAAGAACACCUCACAGGUGGAUGUCCCAGGUGGCUAAAACACCAGAAGCCCCUGGCAAGGACCACACACAAGCCAAGGGAAUGGAGAAGGACAAAGCAGCGCCCGAGGCCACCAACCCACCUCCCAGGCCGCGGAACCGGCCGCCUCCAGCCCCUCCCCUGGGCUCUCGCUUCGUGCCCGUGGUGGUGCACCCCGAGAGCCGCUCCCUCAGCUCGGUGGAGUUCGUGUUCUACCGCCCCGAGUGGCCCAACUCGCUGGCGCCGUUCUGCACCACCAACAAACCCUUCUGCGGCUUCCGCUUCCACGAGGGCACCAAGCACGGCCGGCCCCGCACCGACCUGGAGGGCGCCAGCCCCAGGAAAUGGAGAUCCUUCCACCGCCCCAAGCCAUAGCUGCCAGCAGCCCGGCCAGGCAAUAAAGCCCCGAAACAGCAGCCGUGUCGCUCCAGUGUCCCAUCGGGGCUGAGCUCGGCCAGCAGCCAGCGCCGGGCCC
rnacentral:lncRNA from 12 species